rfam:TPA: Bos taurus chromosome 1, whole genome shotgun sequence.
UCCCUGGUAGCUGAGUGGGAAAGAAUCUGCCUGCAAUCCAGGAGACCUGGGUUCGAUCCCUGGGUUGGGAA